UAGGGAAUCUUCCACAAUGGACGCAAGUCUGAUGGAGCAACGCCGCGUGAGUGAAGAAGGUUUUCGGACCGUAAAGCUCUGUUGUUGGUGAAGAAGGAUAGAGGUAGUAACUGGCCUUUAUUUGACGGUAAUCAACCAGAAAGUCACGGCUAACUACGUGCCAGCAGCCGCGGUAAUACGUAGGUGCAAGCGUUGUCCGAUUAUUGGGCGUAAAGCGAGCGCAGGCGGAAGAAUAAGUCUGAUGUGAAAGCCCUCGGCUUAACCGAGGAAUUGCAUCGGAAACUGUUUUCUUGAGUGCAGAAGAGGAGAGUAGAACUCCAUGUGUAGCGGUGGAAUGCGUAGAUAUAUGGAAGAAUACCAGUGGCGAAGGCGGCUCUCUGGUCUGCAACUGACGCUGAGGCUCGAAAGCAUGGGUAGCGAACAGGAUUAGAUACCCUGGUAGUCCAUGCCGU
rnacentral:rRNA from 1 species